UACGUAGGGUGCGAGCGUUAAUCGGAAUUACUGGCGUAAAGCGUGCGCAGGCGGUUUUGUAAGCCAGAUGUGAAAGCCCCGGGCUUAACCUGGGAAUGGCAUUUGGGACUGCAAGGCUUGAGUGCGGCAGAGGAGACUGGAAUUCCUGGUGUAGCAGUGAAAUGCGUAGAUAUCAGGAGGAAUACCGAUGGCGAAGGCAGGUCUCUGGGCUGACACUGACGCUCAUGCACGAAAGCGUGGGGAGCAAACAGG
rnacentral:rRNA from 1 species